rnacentral:rRNA from 1 species
UACGUAGGGUGCGAGCGUUGUCCGGAAUUAUUGGGCGUAAAGGGCUCGUAGGCGGUUUGUCGCGUCGGGAGUGAAAACCUUGGGCUUAACUCAGGGCUUGCUUUCGAUACGGGCAGACUAGAGGUAUGCAGGGGAGAACGGAGUUCCUGGUGUAGCGGUGAAAUGCGCAGAUAUCAGGAGGAACACCGGUGGCGAAGGCGGUUCUCUGGGCAUGAUCUGACGCUGAGGAGCGAAAGUGUGGGGAGCGAACAGG